CAGAUGUAUAUAAUACAACCUGGUAAGUGGCCCAGCACUUACCAGGUUGUACUAUCAUUGUUUG
rnacentral:pre_miRNA from 12 species